GAUGAACGCUGGCGGCGUGCCUAAUACAUGCAAGUCGAGCGAACAGACGAGGAGCUUGCUCCUCUGACGUUAGCGGCGGACGGGUGAGUAACACGUGGAUAACCUACCUAUAAGACUGGGAUAACUUCGGGAAACCGGAGCUAAUACCGGAUAACAUGUUGAACCGCAUGGUUCAACAGUGAAAGACGGUCUUGCUGUCACUUAUAGAUGGAUCCGCGCCGCAUUAGCUAGUUGGUAAGGUAACGGCUUACCAAGGCAACGAUGCGUAGCCGACCUGAGAGGAUGAUCGGCCACACUGGAACUGAGACACGGUCCAGACUCCUACGGGAGGCAGCAGUAGGGAAUAUUCCGCAAUGGGCGAAAGCCUGACGGAGCAACGCCGCGUGAGUGAAGAAGGUCUUCGGAUCGUAAAACUCUGUUAUUAGGGAAGAACAAAUGUGUAAGUAACUAUGCACGUCUUGACGGUACCUAAUCAGAAAGCCACGGCUAACUACGUG
rnacentral:rRNA from 1 species